rnacentral:rRNA from 1 species
UGAGGAAUAUUGGUCAAUGGGCGCAAGCCUGAACCAGCCAUCCCGCGUGCAGGAAGACGGCGCUAUGCGUUGUAAACUGCUUUUCCAGGGGGAGAAACUUGCGCACGUGUUGCGCAAUUGACGGUACCCUGGGAAUAAGCAUCGGCUAACUCCGUGCCAGCAGCCGCGGUAAUACGGAGGAUGCGAGCGUUAUCCGGAUUCAUUGGGUUUGAAGGGUGCGUAGGCGGACUAUUAAGUCAGUGGUGAAAUCCUGCAGCUUAACUGCAGAACUGCCAUUGAUACUGAUAGCCUUGAGUUUGGUUAAGGUAGACGGAAUGUGUAAUGUAGCGGUGAAAUGCUUAGAUAUUACACAGAACACCAAUUGCGUAGGCAGCUUACUGAGCCGACACUGACGCUGAGGCACGAAAGCGUGGGGAUCGAACAG